rnacentral:rRNA from 1 species
ACAAAUACCAUCCGCCAGGGAAUUACGAACGCUAGUUUAAAACCCAAAGGACUUGGCGGUGCUUCAAACCCACCUAGAGGAGCCUGUCCUAUAACCGAUAAUCCCCGUUUAACCUCACCACUCCUUGCCAACCCAGUUUAUAUACCACCGUCGCCAGCUUGCCCCAUGAGGGUACAAUAGCAAGCCAAAUGGGCUCCCCCAAUACGUCAGGUCGAGGUGUAGCGAACGCGAUGGGAAGAGAUGGGCUACAUUUUCUGAAACAGAAUAUUACGAAAGGUGUUAUGAAACAAAACACAAUUGAAGGUGGAUUUAGCAGUAAAAAGAAAA